UACGAGGGGUGCAAGCGUUGCUCGGAAUUAUUGGGCGUAAAGGGUAGGUAGGUGGUCUGAUUUGUCAGGGGUGAAAGCCUUGAGCUUAACUCAAGAAGUGCCCCUGAAACGGUCAGACUCGAGUCUUGGAGAGGGUCGUGGAAUUCCCGGGUGUAGCGGUGAAAUGCGUAGAGAUCGGGAGGAACACCAGAGGCGAAGGCGGCGACCUGGACAAGCACUGACACUCAACUACGAAAGCGUGGGGAGCAAACAGG
rnacentral:rRNA from 1 species